rnacentral:rRNA from 1 species
CCAGACUCCUACGGGAGGCAGCAGUGGGGAAUAUUGCACAAUGGGGGGAACCCUGAUGCAGCGACGCCGCGUGGGUGAAGAAGUCAUUCGUGACGUAAAGCCCUAUCAGCAGGGAAGAAAAUGACGGUACCUGACUAAGAAGCCCCGGCUAAAUACGUGCCAGCAGCCGCGGUAAUACGUAUGGUGCAAGCGUUAUCCGGAUUUACUGGGCGUAAAGGGAGCGCAGGCGGCGCGCCAAGUCUGAUGUGAAACCCCGGGGCUCAACCCCGGGCAUGCAUUGGAAACUGGCGGGCUGGAGUGCCGGAGGGGUAAGCGGAAUUCCUAGUGUAGCGGUGAAAUGCGUAGAUAUUAGGAGGAACACCAGUGGCGAAGGCGGCCUGCUGGACGACAACUGACGGUGAGGCGCGAAAGCGUGGGGAGCAAACAGGAUUAGAUACCCCCGUAAUC